AACGAACGCUGGCGGCAUGCCUAACACAUGCAAGUCGAACGAAGGCUUCGGCCUUAGUGGCGCACGGGUGAGUAACGCGUGGGAAUCUGCCUAUCAGUGGGAAUAACGACGGGAAACUGUCGCUAAUACCGCAUACGCCCUUAGGGGGAAAGAUUUAUCGCUGAUAGAUGAGCCCGCGUACGAUUAGCUAGUUGGUGAGGUAAUGGCUCACCAAGGCUACGAUCGUUAGCUGGUCUGAGAGGAUGAUCAGCCACACUGGGACUGAGACACGGCCCAGACUCCUACGGGAGGCAGCAGUGGGGAAUAUUGGACAAUGGGCGAAAGCCUGAUCCAGCAAUGCCGCGUGAGUGAUGAAGGCCUUAGGGUUGUAAAGCUCUUUCGGGUG
rnacentral:rRNA from 1 species